AGAUAGAGAAAGAAACGGACAGAGAGCAAAAAAAAAAAAUAUAUAUAUAUAUAUAUAUAUAUAUAUAUAUAUAUAUAUAUCAUCUUCUUCAUUUUUGUACUGACCUAUAACCACCACCACCCCAUUUGACAUUCCACCAGCCCAUCUCUUUAUCACCAUUAAACUACCACCUAUUAAACCACCACCUUCACCUAGACACCUACACUAUAUAGUCAGCCGCCACUUCCAUUUCCACACUACACCUAGAAACACCACCACGGACAGCAACCAUAAGCUCACCCAAAACCCCCAUAAACCAGCUUUGAAAGGUUUUGUUUGCCUGAGUUUCUUCUAUUUUGCGACACAUAUUGAGUUUUGUGUUUGAACCACGGGUCAAGGUUUCCGGUCAUCGGCUCUGGUAGAUGUCAAAUCUCAUCGAAGAUAUUUGAAUUUCUCUAUUUUCAUAAUACAUAGCAGAGUUGUAACAACAUCUCAGCAAUAAAGACCCGACUCUUUCAUGGAUCCGAAUGUUCACCCGGGGCCCGCUGUUCACCCAGGGCCCGAUGAUAGAUCAGUACUUUCUUUGGAAGACACUUAUAGGUGAGUUAUUAUGGAUUGGUGCUAUAUGAAUAGCGACUAGGCUCCGUCCCCAUAGCUGCAGAAAACGUGGGCUCUUUUACUCGAGCGCCCCCCAUACUCUCGCGUCUUAGAAAUAUUUUUUUGGGGCGGUAUCUAUCGUUGCGUAUCCGUUGGUCGGGUACAGCAUGGUUGGGCGCACAUUACGGCCAUGGUUGAGCAGUGAAGGCCGGAGACACAUACCUUCCAUUUUCGCACUGGUGAGGCCACGAUUACACUUCAAGAUCUGGAGGUCCUGUUUGGAUUGUGGGUAGAUGGAGAGCCAUUAUACAGUCGGUAUGAGCCUCCUCUUGGUAGGACAUGGGUGGCGGAAUUGACUAGGCUCACCCACUUCGUGCUUGGUGCCGCGGCCUACGUCUCGGGAUUGAGUUGGGUGCAGAUUAGUGCACUCUGCACUUAUUUGCUCGCAGAGCCUCCUAUUGAGGACGACACUCAGCAGGACGUUAUUGAUCGUCAUGCCCGUUCGUAUCUGCUUAUUAUAUUCGGGGGCAUCUUGUUCCUGAACACAUCGGAUGCCUACGUCAACUUACGAUAUUUGGUUUUCUUGGAGCAUCUGGACUGCUUGGGAGACUACAGCUGGGACAGUGCUGUUUUGGCGUACCUCUACCGAUGCCUAUGCCGAGCGUCUAUUAGCCGUAUUAGCGAUAUGUGUAGAUUUUUUGCUCGUCUCUAGUUAUGGGCGUGGGAGAGGAUGCUGCUUUUUCAGCCCGUACCUAGACAUCACCUCAGUAUUGACAUGCCCCACGAAGAGGUGGAUAACAGGUUUUGAUCGGGAUAUGGAUAUGCACCACAGUAUUCUUUCAUUCCGGGACCAGCUUGAUCAGAUGAUGGACGAUGCGCUAUUUAUAUGGGCGCCGCACGCUGCUAUUUUGGAUGGGUUGCCGGCCUUUUGCAGGAUAGGUCAGGCCGUAUGGAAGUCGCGGUGUCCAUUGAUACACCUAGAAAUCUUUGAGGAUCGCAUGCCCGAGCGCGUCUUAUGACAGUUUGGGCAUACACAGAAUACCCCCCCCCCCCCCGGUGUUCGUCAUGAGUUCCGACACUUCUAGCGGGACGAUCGAGUUGCCCUUGAUGAUGCAUUUCUGGCUUUCAUAGGCGUCCAACUCCAACAUUGGUAGGGGAGGUUGGGGACUUUAGCGGUAGUCGGUCAUGCGACUCCCGUCAUAGAUUACAUGCGCUAAUAUCAUGGGAUCACACACCAAUUGAUUGACAACCCAGAUUUGCGUCCUGCAAGGGAUGUAGGAUACGCAACACUCGCGGGGCAGUACAAGACAUUUGUAAGUUUAUCGCAUUUAGAUUUAUUUAAUUGUAUUAAUUAUUACGUUUUAAAAUAGCUAUUUUUUUACUGUUGAACACAAAUGCAACUGGUGGCCAUUUAACGAUUACGCAUAUUGGGGUUAGAGAAUAUGUUUUACCCCAGGGUUGCGGGGCUUGCAGCAGAGAUGGUACGGAUAUUCGAGGACGGUAUCCUCCAGACAGGAGAGUUUAGGCACAUGGAUGAUCCUGUUUCAGAGGGUGAGUAUCAGGCACGCGAGGAGGAUGACGUGGUGCUGCUAGAGGACUUAGUGGUGGAGGACACCAUCUGGUAGAUGAGGUAGAUGAGACCGUUUCCAUUCCAGAGGCCGUUCCCAUUCUAGUCCAUCCGCAGCCAUUCCAGGCCAGUGGCAGCUCAGUUGGACAGUCACCUACAUUUACGUCGGCGCGCCUACUUGCGGAGAUACCUGGGUCUUCAUCUCAAUCGAGCCAGAAUGCGUACAUGGAGGAGCGUGAUGACAUCGAUUAGGCAGCGUUUCGCGCAUCAUCAGAUGAUGAGCGGCCAGUGAGAAAUUUAGAGCGGCCAAUCACAUUAAAAUACUUAUUUGAUUAUUUAAAUUACUUAUAUAUAUAUAUAUAUAUAUAAAUUACUUAUAUAUAUAUGAUACUUAUUAUUCCGUAAUCUUUUAUAUUUUAGGAUUCGACGUUAGUGGGUCCACCAGAGCGACCCACUUAGCGUUUUCUCAUGGGCCUACCGAGCCAGAGGUGUCUUUUCAUAUGACUGUCGAGCCACAACUAAGCUUUUUAUUAAAAUUAAUUUUAUUCAAUAUAAGGAUUCAGCGCCAGUGAGUCCACAAGAGCGACCCACUCAGGCGUUUUCUCAUGGGCCUGCCGAGCCAGAGGUGUUUUUUCAUGAGACUGUCGAGCCACAGGUUCAUCUUUUGGAGCCUGCAGUGGCACUCCCGACGAGGAUGACGUCGCGUUUCCAGACCCAGCUCAGCUUGAUAUUCUGAGCAUACCAGCGGGACUAGAUCCCAAAAAGAAGCACGUUAUGCAGAAGGGCGCAAGGGCGAGGGAUGAUCAUGGCUUAGAGCGCCCUCUUAUUAAGAGGAAAGAGGGGGAUGAAGACGAUGGGGAGGGCGGUGGGAUGGUAUGAGCCUUAGGCCUAAGGAUAGUCUCAGGCAUAACACGUGUGGGAUCCAUCCACGAUAGUGUAUAUACAAUAGCAUUGUAUAAUUUAA